UACAGGGGGUGCAAACGUUGCUCGGAAUUAUUGGGCGUAAAGAGCUCGUAGGCGGUUUGUCGCGUCGAAUGUGAAAACCCGGGGCUCAACCCCGGGCCUGCAUUCGAUACGGGCAGACUAGAGUUCGGUAGGGGAGUCUGGAAUUCCUGGUGUAGCGGUGAAAUGCGCAGAUAUCAGGAGGAACACCGGUGGCGAAGGCGGGACUCUGGGCCGAUACUGACGCUGAGGAGCGAAAGCGUGGGGGGCAAACAGG
rnacentral:rRNA from 1 species